AACACAUGCAAGUCGAGCGGAUGAAGGGAGCUUGCUCCUGGAUUCAGCGGCGGACGGGUGAGUAAUGCCUAGGAAUCUGCCUGGUAGUGGGGGACAACGUUUCGAAAGGAACGCUAAUACCGCAUACGUCCUACGGGAGAAAGCAGGGGACCUUCGGGCCUUGCGCUAUCAGAUGAGCCUAGGUCGGAUUAGCUAGUUGGUGAGGUAAUGGCUCACCAAGGCGACGAUCCGUAACUGGUCUGAGAGGAUGAUCAGUCACACUGGAACUGAGACACGGUCCAGACUCCUACGGGAGGCAGCAGUGGGGAAUAUUGGACAAUGGGCGAAAGCCUGAUCCAGCCAUGCCGCGUGUGUGAAGAAGGUCUUCGGAUUGUAAAGCACUUUAAGUUGGGAGGAAGGGUUGUAGAUUAAUACUCUGCAAUUUUGACNUUACCNACAGAAUAAGCACCGGCUAACUCUGUGCCAGCAGCCGCGGUAAUACAGAGGGUGCAAGCGUUAAUCGGAAUUACUGGGCGU
rnacentral:rRNA from 1 species